rnacentral:rRNA from 1 species
GAAUUUUGCGCAAUGGGCGAAAGCCUGACGCAGCGACGCCGCGUGGAGGAGGAAGGUCUUCGGAUCGUAAACUCCUGUCAAGAGGGACGAAUUCGUGGGGGAUGAAUAAGCCCUUGCGUUGACGGUACCUCUGAAGGAAGCCCCGGCUAACUCCGUGCCCGCAGCCGCGGUAAUACGGAGGGGGCUAGCGUUGUUCGGAAUUAUUGGGCGUAAAGGGCGCGUAGGCGGCCCCGCAAGUCAGUGGUGAAAGCCCUCGGCUCAACCGAGGAACUGCCAUUGAAACUGCGGGGCUUGAGUCCUGGAGAGGGUAGCGGAAUUCCCAGUGUAGCGGUGAAAUGCGUAGAUAUUGGGAGGAACACCCGUGGCGAAGGCGGCUACCUGGACAGGUACUGACGCUGAUGCGCGAAAGCGUGGGGAGCAAACAGG